UACGUAGGGGGCAAGCGUUGUCCGGAUUCAUUGGGCGUAAAGAGCGUGUAGGCGGCCAGGUAGGUCGGUUGUGAAAACUGGAGGCUCAACCUUCAGAGGUCGACCGAAACCAUCUGGCUAGAGUCCGGGAGAGGAGAGUGGAAUUCCUGGUGUAGCGGUGAAAUGCGCAGAUAUCAGGAAGAACACCCGUGGCGAAAGCGGCUCUCUGGAACGGUACUGACGCUGAGACGCGAAAGCGUGGGGAGCGAACAGU
rnacentral:rRNA from 1 species